rnacentral:rRNA from 1 species
AGUGAACGCUGGCGGUAGGCCUAACACAUGCAAGUCGAACGGCAGCACAGUAAGAGCUUGCUCUUACGGGUGGCGAGUGGCGGACGAGUGAGGAAUACAUCGGAAUCUACUUUCUCGUGGGGGAUAACGUAGGGAAACUUACGCUAAUACCGCAUACGACCUACGGGUGAAAGCAGGGGAUCUUCGGACCUUGCGCGAUUGAAUGAGCCGAUGUCGGAUUAGCUAGUUGGCGGGGUAAAGGCCCACCAAGGCGACGACCCGUAGCUGGUCUGAGAGGAUGAUCAGCCACACUGGAACUGAGACACGGUCCAGACUCCUACGGGAGGCAGCAGUGGGGAAUAUUGGACAAUGGGCGCAAGCCUGAUCCAGCCAUACCGCGUGGGUGAAGAAGGCCUUCGGGUUGUAAAGCCCUUUUGUUGGGAAAGAAAAGCAGCAGGUUAAUACCCCGCUGUUCUGACGGUACCCAAAGAAUAAGCACCGGCUAACUUCGUG